ACAGACUCAGGUAAUCAUCGCUGGCCUGGGAGGACGCGGCCCUCGAAGAGUUUUGGAGCAUCUCCACACUUAGAUGUUCAAUGCCUCACGUCUACUGGGAGGGAAGGUUCAGCCCUACAUGGUGCCUACUUCUUAGCCUGACAAUGGGGUAUCCAGCGGGUGAAGCAGUUGAGAAGUGGGCAGUCGACCUUGGCUUUGCCCUCCUCCCCUGAUGUAGACCCCGAGGUGCCCCACUGAAGAUGCCUUUGGGAUGGAAAACAAGCUCUUUGAAGAUUGUUUCCCAAUUCUUACAUUUGAGGCCAGGAGGAAGUUCCGAGGACCCAUCUUUCAGGAAUUGGCCGGACGUGGGCAAAUAAAUUGGAUAUCUAUUGAUCAGCACUCCUGCCAAUAACUUGGAACAUCAUUUCCCAGUCAAUGAUUUCACAAAUGAAGACACUGCAAAAUAGUGUUCGUUGCCUGUCCACUGUAGGAACUGAUUCUAAAUGUUCACUUCAGUGUGCCUGCCAGAGGAAUACAAACCCGAUACGGGUGUACUGGCCACGCGUUGGAGAGACGAAAAGGCUUACUGAACAUUCUUAGUAAAUGUGCCAUUUGUUCCUGGUGGGUGAAGCAUUUCAUGAUUCAUGCAAUAUUGUAAAUUUUUAUUUUCUUUACAUAGACUUGGCUUUUAUUGUAAUUCCUACUCUUGGGGGAAGGUAAUAUGGAUUCAUCCAAGUUAAUAAAGCCUCUUGGAGAUAACAUCUCCAGGACUCAAGGCCAUUCUCAGGGUACAAUUAAGACAUUUGUUUGCUUGGU